rnacentral:rRNA from 1 species
UACAGAGGCCUCAAGCGUUGUUCGGAUUCAUUGGGCGUAAAGGGUGCGUAGGCGGCGCGGUAAGUCGGGUGUGAAAUCUCGGAGCUUAACUCCGAAACUGCAUUCGAUACUGCCGUGCUUGAGGACUGGAGAGGAGACUGGAAUUUACGGUGUAGCAGUGAAAUGCGUAGAUAUCGUAAGGAAGACCAGUGGCGAAGGCGAAUCUCUGGACAGUUACUGACACUGAGGCACGAAGGCCAGGGGAGCAAACGGG